rnacentral:rRNA from 1 species
CCGCACGGGUGAGUAACACGUAUGCAAUCCACCUGUAACAGGGGGAUAACCCGGAGAAAUCCGGACUAAUACCCCAUAAUAUGGGCGCUCCGCAUGGAGAGCCCAUUAAAGAGAGCAAUUUUGGUUACAGACGAGCAUGCGCUCCAUUAGCCAGUUGGCGGGGUAACGGCCCACCAAAGCGACGAUGGAUAGGGGUUCUGAGAGGAAGGUCCCCCACAUUGGAACUGAGACACGGCCAA